AGACCCAGCUCCGGGAAAUGAGUAGGGCCAAUGAGUCUGGUAACUCGUUGGCUCUUUAGAUUUUUCUCUUGCUCUCUCCUUCGCUAAUUUCAGCGCAGCAGGGACACCUACCCCAUCCCGGAGACUUGUAGCAGUUUGCUGGUCCUCUCUAGGAUCUGUUAGGAUAUGGAUAGCCACUGGGAGGGGACUGUUCACCGCAACCUGCACGGUUACAAAAGCGCUCUGCCCGGGGACCUACGAGUACGGUCUAACAUCGUCGUGCAGAGCUACACUCGUGUCCCCUUUCGUCUAAAUAAAGAAACGCGAGAGAGCAAACCACUCGCUCAAAUUCUCGCGGGCCCUCAACAGCAGGAGAAGGGAUGCGAACCCAGACUCCUGUCUCAGAUCCAGCUCUCCAUCACCCGCCGCGCAGCUCACACUUUCUGCCAGGGUCCCGCCUCCCCAUCCAAGCCGGGCCAGGGUUAUCUGCGCGCCCCUGGGAGGAGUGUGCCUCGGCCGGCCGCUAAUCGCCCCCGGCCCCCGCCUUCGCCUUGGUUUCCCUGCCGGAGUCGCCCGGGCCUCCCUCGCUUGAUCCGGCUCCCGGAGCAGGCCGGGCCAGCGAUUGGCCGGCGGUAAUUACGGGCACGCUCCAGGAGGGGGGCUGGGCGGGGGCAGCCGC
rnacentral:lncRNA from 1 species